GACGAACGCUGGCGGCGUGCUUAACACAUGCAAGUCGAACGGAAAGGCCUCUUUCGGGGGGUACUCGCGUGGCCAACGGGCGAGUAACUCGUGAGUAACCUGCCCUUGUCUUUGGGAUAACUUCCGGAAACUGGGGCUAAUACCGGAUAGGAGCUACUGCUGCAUGGUGGGGGUUGGAGAGUUUCGGGGGUUGGCGGUGGAUUGGUGGGGUAUCCGCUUGUUGGUGGCGUAGUGGCUUACCAAGGCUUUGACGGGUAGGCGGCCUGAGAGGGUGAGAGGCCACAUUGGGACUGAGAGACGGCCCAGACUCCGACGGGAGGCAGCAGUGGGGAAUAUUGAACAAGGGGUGGAGGCCGGGUGCAGAAACGCUGUGUGCGGGAUGACGGCCUUCGGGUUGAAAACCGAUAUCGCUCAUGACGAAGCUUUGUGUGACGGUAGUGGGUAAAGAAGCACCGGCUAACUACGUG
rnacentral:rRNA from 1 species